rnacentral:rRNA from 1 species
UACGUAGGUGGCGAGCGUUGUCCGGAUUUACUGGGCGUAAAGGGCUUGUAGGCGGUCCGUUAAGUCCGAUGUGAAAUCUCCCGGCUCAACUGGGAUAGGUCAUUGGAUACUGGCGGACUAGAGGGGGGUAGAGGAGAGCAGAAUUCCUGGUGUAGCGGUGAAAUGCGUAGAUAUCAGGAGGAAUACCAGUGGCGAAGGCGGCUCUCUGGGCCUACCCUGACGCUGAGGAGCGAAAGCGUGGGGAGCAAACCGG